UACAUGCAAGUCGAGCGGACUUAAAAAGCUUGCUUUUUAAGUUAGCGGCGGACGGGUGAGUAACACGUGGGCAACCUGCCUGUAAGACUGGGAUAACUUCGGGAAACCGGAGCUAAUACCGGAUAAUCCUUUCCUACUCAUGUAGGAAAGCUGAAAGACGGUUUACGCUGGCACUUACAGAUGGGCCCGCGGCGCAUUAGCUAGUUGGUGAGGUAACGGCUCACCAAGGCGA
rnacentral:rRNA from 1 species